GUGGGGAAUAUUGGACAAUGGGGGGAACCCUGAUCCAGCCAUGCCGCGUGUGUGAAGAAGGCCUUUUGGUUGUAAAGCACUUUAAGCGAGGAGGAGGCUACCGAGAUUAAUACUCUUGGAUAGUGGACGUUACUCGCAGAAUAAGCACCGGCUAACUCUGUGCCAGCAGCCGCGGUAAUACAGAGGGUGCAAGCGUUAAUCGGAUUUACUGGGCGUAAAGCGCGCGUAGGUGGCCAAGUAAGUCGAAUGUGAAAUCCCCGAGCUUAACUUGGGAAUUGCAUUCGAUACUGGUUGGCUAGAGUAUGGGAGAGGAUGGUAGAAUUCCAGGUGUAGCGGUGAAAUGCGUAGAGAUCUGGAGGAAUACCGAUGGCGAAGGCAGCCAUCUGGCCUAAUACUGACACUGAGGUGCGAAAGCAUGGGGAGCAAACAGGAUUAGAAACCCCGGUAGUCC
rnacentral:rRNA from 1 species